AAAAAAACUUAUUGGCACCAGGCUAUGAAGGAAUAAAAUCUCAGAUCAAAAUAAAAUUGAGAAUGGGGAAUGUGUCAAAGUGACCACAACCCGACAAUAGAACAGACAAAAGCAGAAAGUCACCAAUAGGUCUGCAAUGCAGCGAGAAACUCCCGCACCGGGAGGCGUCCUUCAGCUGGCCCCUAAACAAAUAUCUAUACUAGUUUAGUGAUAAUGGACGCCAUACUAAACUCCGAAUUAUAGCAUAGCAUGGACAAUAUGUUGGUUAUACGUAAUUGUGCAUAGCAACGAUACCUAUCAAUAAUUGUGCAGAUAACCUAAACUUUUUAUAAGUUUAUCCGGGUUUUCAAACAUUUUUUGUUCAAUUUUUAACUUCACACCAAUCGGUCAAAAAGGCUAUUUCUUCACGUCCAAACAAGUAAAAGUGUUUCAUUCACCAACAAAAAACGUGCGAAAAAUAUCCAAAGCAAUUUUGUAUAUCAAAGUUAUGUAGAUCCGUGCAAACGUUCAUGUCAAUUGCGAACUGACCAAAUAAUUUUUAUAUUACGACCAGUCCACUGAUAUUGACAUUAUCAGAGAGUACACAUCAAAG
rnacentral:lncRNA from 1 species